rnacentral:lncRNA from 1 species
AUUUUACUCAGUAAAUAUGACCAGUGCGUGGUUACUCCUCAGCAAAGCUCACGGGCUUAACAGAGAAAAUCUUUGAGCUAUUCAGAUGCAUCACAUGUCAGCUCAAAGGACUCUUCAGAUCUGAAUGCUGGGAGAACAAAGGAAGAUGAUUGGUGCUUCAGGUCUUUGGAAGGAAAGCAAAAUAUCAGAGGGAAAUUCUUUACAGAAAAGAAGACUUCAGGUGCCCCAACAGAAUUUGUAAGUUAAAGCUUGUUCACAAUGCAGCCAGAUGCCUCCGUCAGGCAAGUCAGAGCAUGGAAGUUGGAAGCCUGUUUUACCCGAUGUACUUUCCAAGAAGAUUUUCUCAACGUCUCAUCUUGCUGGCUAUUUAUAUAGAUGCUUUCUGGAUGCUUGCUAAGUCUCAGGUUUCCCUUGUCCUAAGGCAGAAGCCUGAUUUUUCACUCUGUUGCAGGAUGGAGGAUAAACUCUACCCAAGUUCCAAAGCAGAUACUUGGUCUGACCUUUGCUUUCAUGUCUCUGCUGUCUCACAGGUGACUUCUACUGUCUCAGGACAUCUUCUUAAUCAUAGUUAUUGUACUAGCCAAGAUCCAUCAAUGUGCUGCAUGGAUUCAGGGUUGGAGAGGCAUUCUCUGGUGGAGGAGGAAAACGUGUACCCUGGCAGCAUGGACACUAAACAGCAUGAGCUGAGGAAGACUGCAACUACAUGGCUCAUUAUUUUGCUGCUGAAGAAGGUGGAUGGCUGGGCACACGGCUCUCAGCUCCCUGCAGGUCACAGCCACUUGGUGGCUUGGUACCAGAGGUGGCCCCAAGGUGUGCCUCCAUCCCUGGAGAAAUGUUCCACUGAAACCUUUCAGCACCAAGCUCUGCAUGAAACAUUUCUUCACCGUGAUGGUGGUCAAACACUGGAAUUGGCUUCCUAGAGGAGUCUGAUGCCCCACACCUGCCAGUCAGUGUUCAAGAGGCAUUUGAACAAUGCCUUAAUAACAUGCUUUUAAUUUCAGUUAACCCUGAAAUGAUCAGGCAAUUGGACUUGAUAAUAUUUGUAGGUCCCUUUCCACUGAACUAUUCUAUUCCAUUCUACUCGGAAAACUUUGUUGUUCACAAACCCUCAGUUAAAUAUGUGUGGAAUUUUCAAAGAUGCAUAAACCUUUUGCAAGCUUUGAUUAAAAGUUAAAUUGAUGACUGGUAACUUGCAAAAAACAUCACUAACCAUAUGUAAAUAUACAGAGUUCCUG